GGAGCGUUGGCAGAGUGGUAAUGCAGCGGAUUGCUAAUCCGUCAUCCCCUUAAAAGGAUGCACAGGUUCGAGUCCUGUACGCUCCGCCA
rnacentral:tRNA from 1 species